rnacentral:rRNA from 1 species
UACGAAGGGGGCUAGCGUUGCUCGGAAUCACUGGGCGUAAAGCGCACGUAGGCGGCUUUUUAAGUCAGAGGUGAAAUCCUGGAGCUCAACUCCAGAACUGCCUUUGAUACUGGAGAGCUUGAGUCCGGGAGAGGUGAGUGGAACUGCGAGUGUAGAGGUGAAAUUCGUAGAUAUUCGCAAGAACACCAGUGGCGAAGGCGGCUCACUGGCCCGGUACUGACGCUGAGGUGCGGAAAGCGUGGGGAGCA